AGAACGAACGCUGGCGGCAUGCCUAAUACAUGCAAGUCGAACGAACUCUUCGGAGUUAGUGGCGCACGGGUGCGUAACGCGUGGGAAUCUGCCCUUGGGUUCGGAAUAACAGUUGGAAACGACUGCUCAUACCGGAUGAUGACGAAAGUCCAAAGAUUUAUCGCCCAGGGAUGAGCCCGCGUAGGAUUAGCUAGUUGGUGAGGUAAAGGCUCACCAAGGCGACGAUCCUUAGCUGGUCUGAGAGGAUGAUCAGCCACACUGGGACUGAGACACGGCCCAGACUCCUACGGGAGGCAGCAGUAGGGAAUAUGGACAAUGGGCGAAAGCCUGAUCCAGCAAUGCCGCGUGAGUGAUGAAGGCCUUAGGGUUGUAAAGCUCUUUUACCGAGAUGAUAAUGACAGUAUCGGGAGAAGUAAGCCCCGGACUAACUCCGUAGCCAGCAGGACCGC
rnacentral:rRNA from 1 species